rnacentral:misc_RNA from 1 species
GUUUUCUUUCACAAUUUGGCUCCCAAAAACUUUAUUAAAAUCUCUAUCUGUUCUUCCUGGGAGAAAAAAGAAACAUGAAAUUUAAUUACCCUCUGUGCUUAAAUACCUGGAAAUUGGCCACCUUAUGCUAAUAAAAAUUGUUAGCCUGGAGGUAUGGUGGUCAACAUAGGCUUUUGUUUCAAGCAUUAUGAUUAUCAACAUUCAUCACAUUUCCAAAAGCAGCAUUGCUUUUCCCUAAUUUACUCUAUCACAAAUCCAAACCCACCAUGAUAUUAUUUUGUCUAAGCUUUUCAUCAACCCAAAGCAGCCUCUCUGCUCUCUGCUCUGCUAUUUCCAGUUUUAAAACCCAGCAAAGCUACCCUUUUCCCUGUCAGAAACACCCAUCCCUCUCUCUCUCUCUCUGAACAAAACAAUGACUACCCACAGAAAAAUGGAUAGUGAAGACCAAGAAACCUUGUUUCACUCUUACCCAUGUGCUUACUACGUGCAGAGCCCAUCCACCUUUUCUCAUGCAAACAGUGCAGACCUCAAGACCCACAAUCUUGAAUCCACAUUUCACUCUCCAUCAAGAUCCGAUACCAAUAUCCUCCUCGAUAAAAACCCAGAGGUUUCAAGAUUCACUCUCUCCCGCUACUCCUCCUCUCGUGGCUCCAACAACUCUUUCUUGAAUGAGAAGAAGAUUAAUGGAGAUGAGAAUGGUGUCAACCGUUUGAUCAUUGUUGAUGGGCAUGGACUUGGUGAAGGUGGUUAUGGGGUGGAGGAGGUGGAGGAGGAUGAGGAUGAAGAGUAUUAUUAUGGGAGGAAAGGUGAGCUGUGGUGGAGGUAUUGUUCUUUUAGAAGGAGCUCUUCUUGUGCUUGGGUUUCUUUGCAAAUAAGUUGGAGAUUUUUGGCGAGUUUGGGAACUGCCUUGCUUGUUUUCUACAUUGCUACUAGGCCACCACCACCCAAGUUGUCAAUCAAGAUGGCAGGAAUCCAGCAAUUCGGACUGGGGGAGGGAGUAGAUGGGACAGGUGUUACAACUAAGAUCCUCACCUGUAAUUGUUCAAUGGAUCUUCUGAUAGAAAACAAGUCUAAGCUCUUUGGCCUUCACAUUCAACCUCCUUUAAUGGAAAUGUUCUUCGGUCGCCUUCCUUUUGCAACGUCAAGAGUAAGCUUAUGUUAUCCCUUUUAAAUUUUACUUUCAAAUUCCUCAUGUAGCUAUAAUUUGUUUUAUAUGAGAUGUGAUCUCAACUAAGCAGGGUCCAAAACUAUAUGCUGAAACCCACGGCUCAACAUUGUUCCAAUUGUCCGUGGGAACAAGGAACAAACCCAUGUAUGGAGCCGGAAGAAACAUGCAGGACAUUUUAGAGUCUGGAAAUGGAUUGCCAAUUCUGAUUCGAGUUAGCUUGAGCUCUCAUUUUCGAGUGCUUUCGAACCUUAUCGACCCAAAAUACCAUCACCAAGCAGAAUGCCUGUUAUUCUUGGAUAGCAAAUAUGAUAAGAAACAUCGAACUCAAGCUUAUAACAGCACCUGCACAAUGUCUUAACCCUUCUAGCUUCUUGUGUAUUACAGAGAGAAUGAUUAGAACUCUUCUUUUUUAAUUUGUUUCAGCAUAUAUAUGUAUGAGAGAUCAAGAACAGUGAGGAUUAUACAUAAAUUGUAAGAAAGGUUCAAAGAAAUUAUGUGCUUAUAAGUAUAACAAGGGUGGUCUAUGUAAAAUUUUAGAUUAUAUUUAUAAUACGUUUAUUAUGACAAUUAAUUAUAGUAAAUCUCAUACAGAUUCUAUCA